AAGUCGGGAUGACACCGACUAGAGAAUGAUAGGACACAUUUUGGUAACUUGCCCCCUUACCACUGUAUACAACCACGACAGCAUCAAGGACAGUGUAAUGAACUACGCCACCCAAGUACAAUGUCAUCCUACAAAGGUCGGGACGACGUUGACCAGGUACAACAGUGUCCCGCGAAAGCCGGGACAGUGCCGACCAAGUACGACACUGACUAGGUACAACGGUGUCCCACGAAAUUCGGGACAGUGCCGAUCGAGUAUAACGCCGCCCCGUGAAAGUCGGAACGACACCUCUCAAGUAUAGCGCCAUCCUACAAAGGUUGGAAUGGCACCGCCCAAGUAUAGCGUCGACCCACGAAGAUCAGGACGACGUCGACCGAGUACCACGCCAUCCUGUGAAGGUUG
rnacentral:lncRNA from 1 species